GAGCUGGUGCCCAACUCACCAAUCACGAGAACGUCCCUCCUUUUAUAGCCUAUAAAACCCUAGACAAUCUGCCUUCAAAAUGGCUGUCUCUUUCAGGGACUCCUCUCCGUGCAUUUUUUUUUUUUUUAUUUCACUUCUGCUGUAAUUUCUCUGCUUGCUUUCCGGAAACUGCUACCGCUGUGCACACUCUUCCUUGCUCGUGCUCCUCGUUCUUCGAGGACACAAGACACAAACCCAGUGGAGAAACAGAAGUGUAAUGACUGCAGACCACUGCCACACUGGGAUCGUGGUCAUCUUGGGGGACGCUCUGGGUUUUAGAAUUCCGGAAAAAGGAGUCCGGCUGCCCGCAACUUAUUUCAAAUAGAGAGCCGCGUAGAGCUUGCAUUUGUCUCCUGAUGGGGGCCACGGAGUAUAAACCAUCGUUGAACAAAAUUUUGUUCUCAUUUGGAUUCAAAUAGAAUUUGUCAUCUCCGAGGGGCAGAUGUUAUGCAUCAAACAAAUGACAGAUUGAACACUGAGUCAAACAAAUCCCAAGGAGGGAGACAAUAUCCAAAUUGCUUUCACUGCAAUAACUCAGCCCAGACAAGAACAAAAACAAUGACAGCACAUCUAAACCCCAAGUACCGGAUGGCAGAGUGGACAGUGAGAGAGAGACAGAGAGAAAGGUCUUCCUUUUGCCGUUGGUUUAUCCUCCAAUGGCCGCUGCGGCCGGCGCACUGCGCUGAUCUGAAGGCAGGAGCCAGGUGCUUCUUCUGGUCUCCCAUGGGGUGCAGGGCCCAAGGACCUGGGCCAUCCUCCACUGCCCUCCCUGGCCACAGUAGAGAGCUGGACUGGAAGAGGGGCAACCGGGACAGAAUCCAGCGCCCCAACUGGGACUAGAACCUGGUGUGCCGGCACCGCAAGGCAGAGGAUUAGGCUAUUGAGCCGUGGCGCCGGCCCAGAGUAACUGGCUGGCUGUGGUAGCAGUGCAGUAGGGAUCAGUUCAACAUUUGAGACUCCCCCUACUCACCUCCCCCCAUUCCCGAAAGAGAACGACCCUGGGAAGUCAACAAACAAUGUGAGAGACGAAGCGUGUCAAGUUCAAGCCUUGUCUUCGGCUCAGCUGUUCUAAUCGGCCUGGGGAAGUUCACCUCCACUCCUCCCUGAACUGAUCCAGGUUGGUGAUGCAUCUAGGACUGUUCUCUCCCUUCCCAUCCAGAAAGACCAAAGGAACGUUUGAAAUUUACUUUCUUGGGGAUUUGGAAAUGUACAAUACACUGUUGUCGACCGCGCUCACUCCACUGCGUGAUAGAUCUCAAGACUGACAUCACUCAUCACUGCUGUCUAACUGCGGCUGAGGCUCUGUACCCUUUGACCCCUCCCCCCAUACCCCACCUUUGGUGAUCACCAUUUCACUCUUUGUUCCAAUGAGAGCCCAGAGUCUCAUACUCUGAAUGUCAACAGUUAUCAGGAAGAAGUCAGAAGUCCUGCCUUCCCGGACACCCUACUACACUCUUUCUCAAGUCUUUGCUUUACUUGAUAAUUGUUUUUGUGGAUUAUCAGCAGCGAGAGGAUGUUCUGAGAGCUGUCAGCAGAGUGUCAAGGAGAGUGACUGAGCAGCACGUAUCAUUUCCUUGUGACCUUUACUUGAUUGUGCCUUUGAACAGCGCGACUUUCUCAAGAUAAGAUAACCAUCUCAAGGAAAAGUUGAAGAGAGCUGGCAAUAAAAAGAGAAAGCAAUAGCUAAAAGAAUCAAGAACAAAGCAAAGAAGAAAAUUUCAGGCAGAUGGUGGAGGAGAGACUCCCAGUGUCUGAUGUGCUGGUGCAGAGAGGAGGCAUCAAGGAAGCCGGAACAUCUGUCCUCGCAGGCCUACUUGGCUCAUUGUCCCGUGUGCACAGAGAGAGCCUGCACAGCUUUUUGAGAAAUUCGAAACCAUCCUCUCUAGCUCUUGGCAGGGGCUCUGCCGAAGCAGGAAGUGGCUUGCAGGGUCUCCUGUUCCUAGGACGGAAACGUGGCUGCGGAAGUCAAAUAGCAAUGAUAAUAGCUGAAAUAAAUAAAUAAAACCUGGUAGCUUUGUUAUGCUCACAGCCAUUCCUUCAGCCACCCUGGGUCCAUAUGUGCCUUUCUGUGAGGAUUUGGGCAACACUAACAAUUCUGUGCUUUUGCCUAACAAGGCGCAAACAUCCUCCCAAGGAAUGAAGAUAUUCCGACUCUCUCUCUCUACAGGUCCUGCAAAUCCCCGAUUGUCAUUGUGUCCAUAUGUGGGGGAUGUUCAUUUUACCCCGAAUCAGUCAUGCACUCCUCUGACUAUUUUGUAACCAGAGGCUAAGCUACAAAGAUAUUAUCCACCACUGAACAUAUUUAUAAAACAUAUUAAGGGGAAAAUGCAGUUUUUAAAGAAACAUUCAAAAAUGUGUUAGGAAAUGUUAUAUUCUUAGCUACAAGGGUUCAGCUUUCCUCAAGGUUGAUGUAGACGUCAAGCUUCUAGAUCUCGCCUGAGCCCUGAGCCCAGCGUUUCAUAGCAUGGAGUGGAAAGUGGCCGAUUCACCACUGGGUUUUAGCUGUGUAGAUAAUCAGUAGGCAAUGCUGACGCAGGUCACAAAUUUUUACUCCAAUAUAAUCACAGUUGUUUUAGAUGGAAAUUACCUAUUAUUGAUUAAAUGCACUUUAAGUCUGGUAUCUGCCUGAGUACUUCCCAGUUGUAAGCUUUCUCAUUAAUGAUUGGUUUUGAGUUCCAAGCUAGAGAUUUCCACUGGGGGCAUUGUUGGGAUGGAAAAUGCUAGCAAUAGACUGCCAAACAGAGGCUGUUGCCCUUUUGCUAAAGGACUGUGGGGCUAGAAAACGAUGCACCAGUAUGGGUGUCAUACUGCAAAUUUCAAGCUCUGGUACCAGCAGCAUUUAAAAAAAAAAAAAAGUGUGACCUUCCCAAGGUCACACUAGGCUCCCACGGCAUUCCAGCUUUCUCUGGGGGAGUGGCAGAUGCCUGGGCUUGUUUAGCUGGAGGGCCAGGAAGCAGGGGAGCAGGGAGAAAAGCAAAAGAAGAUCACAGGACUUGGCUUCAGCUGUAGCUCCAGGCGCUCCAUCCCCUGUGGGGAGUAAUUUGCAUCUGCAUGCAUCUCACCUGAGAGUGUGGCGCUGUCUUUUAGAAUGGAUUCCAUGAAUGUGCCAUUAUGAUGCCUCCUUGCUCCAGACACACAGGAUAAAUUGCCCACUACUCUGCACUGUCAGUGUCAAGUGCCACGUAGACAGGCUUUGGGAGUAGCUUAGGGAGACAGACGUCAGACGUGAACUGAAGUCAGGUUAUCUCAUCAGUCAUGAAUUUUCCAUCAGGGGCUCUGGAUUCUAAAUUUAAGCAACAACAGUUUUUAGGCUUUAGUAGAAGAAUGUGAGUGUGGCCUAUGAAACAAGCGACCAAAAUUAGGGUAGUGGAGCCUCCAACACAAGCAUGUCGUCUACAAGUGUGUCGUAGACCCACGUAACAAAGGCAAUGGGGUUUUAGGAAGAGACACAGAAGACACAGGUCCUGGAGCAUGGGCUCACAUAGCUGUUGGAUCUUGAUGGAGCGCUUUGCCCUGAAUCGGCUCACAGCUUUCGGAGCUGGAGUUUUAGUUCCCUUCCCUGAGUCUGAGUCUGGGGUCCUUAUGUCCUGAAGCAGCUCCACUGUGAUCCCAGGUCAGCUCCCUGUCAUAGGACAACCCCCUCUGAGGACCCAGCUGGGGAAACCACUGCGUGGAAUGGCCAUUUCCUGCUGGGUAAUUUGUCCACAGGCUGAAGUAAUCCCGUGUAUCCCUGCGUUUGCCUCACGGAGGUGAGCAGAUGCUCCCUUGUGUUGGGGCCUGCGCUGUGGCACAGUCGGGCAGAGCCUCCACCCACAAUGCUGGCAUCCUGUAUGGGUGCCAGUUUGUGUCCUGGCUGCUCCACUUCUGAUCUAGCUCCCUGCUAAUGGCUUGGGAAAAGCAAGAGAAGAUGGCCCAAGUGUUUGGGUUCCUGCCACCAACGUAGGAGUUCGAACCAGUGGAAGCUUUUUGCUCCUGGCUUCAACCUGGCCCAGUGCUGGCCAUUUUAGCUGUCUGGGGAGUGAACCAGCUGAUGGAUGAUCCCUCUGUCCCUCUUUUUCUGUAACUCUGACUUUCAAAAUAAAUGCAUAAACCUUAAACACAACAGCAAAAACCAGCUGUGUGUCCUGAAGUUUAGCCUCUGGUCUCCAGAUUGCAUUUCUGUUGUUCUGUAUUCUACUCCUAGGAUUGAACAGGUCACAUCUGAGAAUAGUCAUGCAAGAUUUAGACUGGAAUUCAAAUUGAGUUAGGGAUGGGGGAAUUUAGCUCUGUGUCUACCACAUAGUAGGUGCUUUGUAAGUGUUGCUCCUAUCAGGGACACAGACUAACCACGGUAAAUGGGGCCAAGCUUCUCAACAGCUGAAGAAUCUGUAAUAGAACAAGUUCAUGGCCCUCCUGGUCUGUCAGGCCUCAGAUCCCCGCCCCUCUUUGGAUCGCAUUGAACAACUCUGGUCCAAAUUCGUACAGGACUUCUCGGGAAUGACCUAGGGUACACUGACUCAUCACCUGCCACGGCACAUCACUGGUGGCCAGGUCUGCUGGGUGUGAUGCUUGGAUAUCUGGAGUUGGACAGACGUUCUGGGUCACAGAUGCCUUGCAAUGUGUCUACCACAGAGUGUCCAGCAUGCGCCACUUUCUCAGGCACCAUGGCAGAGUGUAUUUUUAUCCUGUCUCUGACUUCGUGUGUGUGUGUGUGUGUGUGUGUGUGUGUGUAUGUGUUCUGCGAGAUUUCAGACAAACUGAACAAACUGAAGAGAGAAGGAGUAAGACGCUUCUUUUGAAGGCGAGGGAAGGGAGAUGAGUGCAUGCACCAGGAGGGGGAGGUGGGAAGGGCGCUCCUCCCACCCAGCGUUCUCCGUGCUCCCAUGAGGAGCUCUUCUGCACGCCCGUGUGAGAAGAAUGGAUGAGACAACACUGGGAAAUAUCCUUUGGUCACCUGCAAAUGCCUGUGGAUGUAAUUGGCAGUUCUUCCUGAUAGAUGGGCUUUGAGUGCUCUGUAUACAGGCUGGGGACUGGGUGGUUUUCUUGAAAUUUCCCCCCAUAGUCAAAUUUUUCAAGAACAAAAAAUAACAAAUUGGCAAUCUACCCACAUGUGUUCUUUUGUAGCAUCCAAGGACACUGUCCUGGCAUGAUGGAUAAUAUUAUGAGCUGUCUCAUUCUGUGAUGGGUUGGGUUAUAAAAGUGAAGCAGAUUUCAUCUCGGUGAAAUGCUUAGCGCAGGGAGCAGUAUUUCCAGUCUAGGUAGUCACGGCUUCCCUUGCUUUUCCCUGCCCGCCCAGGUCAGUACACACACCGCGCCAUCUGAGAAAGGGUGAGGGGCCGCGCUGGCUUUUCUUGCCCAUGAGAAAGGGGGUUGGAGGGGAAGGGGUACAGGCAGAUUUUCUCAGUCUUGGCACACAGGCCAGUGUGAGGAAUGGCUAUUAGGGGAUGCUGUAUGGCUGAUGGAAAGAGACCCAGAGCUUGUCCUGUAAAUGCCAACUUCCCUUUGGCCAUCACCUCCACCAUGGGAGGUCUGAGGCACAGAUCCAAAGGCGAGGUCAAUGUAUGAUCUUUAUUACUGUCAAUUAUUCCGUCACACCUGACAUGGUGUCCUGGAGAGCUAGACUGGAGCGCAUGGCAGCCUCUGUCUUGCUUGUCAUUACAUUCUAUUUCCAUUCAGCCUGUGAGAGGGUUGUACUUUCCUAGUCUGUUUGUGAAGACUGGAGGCAGGUUUUUGUGGGUCAGAACACUAGAGUUAGAUUGGGUAAUCCUGGUGCCUUCGUCCCUAGAUCUACACCCAAACCUUUAUUCACUGUGUUGGUGAGAUAGGUCCAACGACAGGGAAAGGGAAAGAGAUCUGUGGACAGGACCAGGGCUGAGCCAAGCAUGAUCGUCUCAGCUCGUGCCCGCUACAUGGGGACAGCUGCCUUGGCAGUGGACUUGUCCAUCUCCCAGCUCCGGCAAAUGCUGGCUAAUGCAGCUUGGAACUCUUCUAAAUAUUCACUUUCCUACCUAAUUUUGAAUUUAAAUUUUUAUGGGCUUUUUCUUAAAAAGAACUCCCCAACAUGUGUAUGGUCUAGGUCUUACAAAGCUGAGGUCUGCUACAUAUCAGUGUGACUGCUACAUGAUGUCACUGAAGUCCAGUCCUUUGAAGACCUGAAGACUCUCAGGGGAAGAGUGAGCUGUGCCUAUAACAUUAACAAGUCAAAUGCCAGGGCCAGGAGGCCAGGCAACUUUAUUGUAAGAUCUUUCAAAAAGUGUGCAUGCAGAAUGGGCAGAUGCUCUCAUUCCAUAUCAGAGUGCCUGGGUUUGCGUCCCAGUUCUUACCAGUGCAGACCCUGGGAGGCAGCAGGUGACGGCUCUUAUAGUCGGCUCCUUGCCACCCACUUGGAAGAUCUGGAUUGGGUUCUUGCCUCCUGGCUUUGGCCUGGCCUAUGCCAGGCUGUUGCUGGCAUUUAGGGAGUGAACCAAUGGGUGGGGAAUCUCUGUCUGCUUCUCUCUAUACCUUUCAAAUAAAUUAAUAUUUUUUUUUAAAUGUAACAUAGAGAAGGAUGAAAAGUUGCAAAAACUAGUCCAGAGAACUUCUGUGUCUCUUUCAUCCAGAUUCCCCAGUUACUAAAAUUCCGUACAGUUGCCUCAGCUAUGUCAUUUCUCUUUCUCUUUACAUACACACACCUUUUGCUUCCUCAACCACUUGAGAGUGGGUACCAGACAAAUUGUCUGUGACUCUUAAACACUUCAGUAUGCAUUUAUUAAACAAAGGGCAUCCUCUAAUAAAGCCACGAGGCACCUAUCAAAAAUCAAGAAAGCAACAUUGAUUUUAUACCAACCUAUAAUUAAAAUUUCACCCAUUUUCACAGUGAAGUCCUUUGCAGGUUGUGAAUCUAAACCCAAAUCUCGUGCUGUACUGAGUCAUCAUUUCUUCUGGUUUAUUUCAACUUAAGACAGCUCCACAGUCUUUCCUUGCCCUUCAAGGCCUAGAUGUUUUUGAAGUAUCCAAGCCAGUUACUUUGUAGAAUGUCCCUAAAUUUGGUUUUGUCUGAUGCUUCCUCGGGAUUAGAUUAACAUAAUAACAUUUUCCAGGCGUAUCACAGAAGUAACAGGAUGCACAUGAUAUUGAUUUGUUCUAUUGCUGAUGAUAACUUUUUUACUUGGUUAAGAUGCUCUCUGUAGAUCUUUGUGGGAUGCUUUGAGACCAUGUAAAUAUCCUGUUCCUUAUCAAAUUUCUGUUCACUGGUUUAAGCCUUCAUUGAUGAUCCCUGCCUAAAUCAAUUACCACUAUGCUGGUUACCAAGAAACAAUUUUCUAAUUCCAUCAGUCCUUCUGUAUUUAUUAGUUGACGACUUUUUCUUACCUCAUUUACUUAUGUGUAUAC